rnacentral:rRNA from 1 species
UACGUAGGCAGCAAGCGUUGUUCGGAGUUACUGGGCGUAAAGGGUGUGUAGGCGGUUAUUUAAGUUUGGUGUGAAAUCUCCCGGCUCAACCGGGAGGGUGCGCCGAAUACUGAAUGACUUGGAGUGCGGGAGAGGAAAGUGGAAUUCCUGGUGUAGCGGUGAAAUGCGUAGAUAUCAGGAGGAACACCGGUGGUGUAGACGGCUUUCUGGACCGUAACUGACGCUGAGACACGAGAGCGUGGGUAGCAAACAGG